GGAGGAUGCGAGCGNNAUCCGGACNUAUNGGGUNUAAAGGGUGCGCAGGCGGCGCGCCAAGUCAGCGGUCAAAGUUCCGGGCUCAACCCGGUGUCGCCGUUGAAACUGGCGUGCUCGAGUGCGUGCGAGGAAGGCGGAAUGCGUUGUGUAGCGGUGAAAUGCAUAGAUAUGACGCAGAACUCCGAUUGCGAAGGCAGCUUUCCAGCGCGCUACUGACGCUGAGGCACGAAAGCGUGGGGAUCGAACAGGAUUAGAUACCCUGGUAGUCCACGCAGUAAACGAUGACUACUAGCUUUCCGGGAUGAUUGAAUCCUGGGAGGCACAGCGAAAGCGUUAAGUAGUCCACCUGGGGAGU
rnacentral:rRNA from 1 species